GACGAACGCUGGCGGCGUGCUUAACACAUGCAAGUCGAACGAUGAAGCCGGAGCUUGCUCUGGUGAAUUAGUGGCGAACGGGUGAGUAACACGUGAGUAACCUGCCCUUGACUCUGGGAUAACUGCUAGAAAUGGUAGCUAAUACCGGAUACGACCCUCGGAGGCAUCUCCAGGGGGUGGAAAGAAUUUCGGUCAAGGAUGGACUCGCGGCCUAUCAGCUAGUUGGUGAGGUAACGGCUCACCAAGGCGACGACGGGUAGCCGGCCUGAGAGGGUGACCUGCCACACUGGGACUGGGACACGGCCCAGACUCCUACGGGAGGCAGCAGUGGGGAAUAUUGCACAAUGGGCGCAAGCCUGAUGCAGCAACGCCGCGUGAGGGAUGACGGCCUUCGGGUUGUAAACCUCUUUUAGUAGGGAAGAAGCGAAAGUGACGGUACCUGCAGAAAAAGCACCGGCUAACUACGUGCCAGCAGCCGCCGUAA
rnacentral:rRNA from 1 species